GAUGAACGCUGACAGAAUGCUUAACACAUGCAAGUCUACUUGAUUCUACUUCGGUAGUUGAUGGUGGCGGACGGGUGAGUAACGCGUAAAGAAUCUGCCCUUUAGUUUGGGAUAACCUUUGGAAACGAAGGCUAAUACCGGAUAUUAUGGAGACGUCGCAUGGCGACUCCAUGAAAGCUAUAUGCGCUAGAGGAGGACUUUGCGUCCCAUUAGUUAGUUGGUGAGGUAAUGGCUCACCAAGACCGCGAUGGGUAGCCGGCCUGAGAGGGUGAUCGGCCACAAGGGAACUGAGACACGGACCUUACUCCUACGGGAGGCAGCAGUGGGGAAUAUUGGACAAUGGGCCACAAGCCUGAUCCAGCAAUUCUGUGUGCACGAUGAAGGUCUUCGGAUUGUAAAGUGCUUUCGGUAGGGAAGAAAAAAAUGACGGUACCUACAGAAGAAGCGACGGCUAAAUAUGUGCCAGCAGCCGCAGUAACAC
rnacentral:rRNA from 1 species